rnacentral:lncRNA from 10 species
CUACACAGACCCGCACUGACCUGGAAAAGCUUCGGGAGCGGCGACGGGAAGGCAGCAGGAGGUGGUGCGGGGACCCGAGGCGCCUCGUACCCGGCCGGGCUGACGCGGCCCCGCUACACACAAAGCGCUUCAGCUGCACAGGGCGCUAUUUUCCGAAAAUGCCGCGUCUGGUCGGCGCCCAAAAUCCCCACCGAAAAGUCCCCCGUGCUGCGCGCGGAGGGACACAUGGUGUGCGAGUGAGUCAAGCUCCCAGCAUCCCUCCCGGACCCGGCCCUCUUCAGCUCAUCGCCCGAGGAUUUUCCGCCUCUGCCCUCGUCGGCAGAUCCUGCUCCUACCCACUCCCUAGCUGUGUUCCCGCGGGGAGAGAGGGGAAAGAGGGUCUGAUUUUUUAACGAAGGGAAAGAAAAUAUGCCAUUUCUAGCGCUUCAGCCACACAAAGAAAGCGGCGGAAUGAUCCGCUCUCGGCGACCGCAAGUCCCGGCUCGCCCGGCGCCUGCGCGGCAGCGGGGGUGGGAGCUGCGGACGGCCAUGUGCGCGGCGGAGAGGCCGGGUGGCCACCGAACCUUCCCGCCUGUUCUGCGGUGGGUAGGAGUUUGGAAACUAAUGUUCCUGUGCUAACCUUCGUGUCUCUGUGACAUGACUGUUGAAAGACGGAGAGUGCGGAAUCUUUGGAGUUUUAAGCUUGCCAACUGUGCGGCCUAGCAGAAUCCUGGGAGACGGAAGGACAGCCAAGAGGCUAGGAUUUACCUUUAAGUGUCCCUAGAUUCAACUAGGCAGACUGGGACGGGAGACGCUGUGAAGGUACCAGGGAAGGAACGAGUGAGGUUCCUUUUCCACUUUUUCAUAAACUCAACAGUCAGGUUCAUGACGAAGAUAUAGAUAUUUCUGUAGAUUUUUUCCCCAACAUUCUAAUUAUGCCUCAUGUUUCGUAGAUCCUAGUAACUGCUUGGAUUACUGCCACCUCAGAGGUAGAGAUCUGUUUUUCCGUGGCUGGAAUGCCAAAAAUUUUGUUGUAUUUUAUUAAGAAAGUAGCAAAAGUUUGGAGAUUUGCAAAGUUAAAAAAAAAAAAAGCAUUAUGAACUUAAUCUAGAUGUGAUUUGCUAAGGAACUUAAUAUAUUGAUAUGUUUUUCACAGGGGCGUCUGGGCAUGGCUUUCCCAACCUAGUAACUGCAACUUUUAGCAUCCUACAUGUAGGACUUGGGAAUAUGUGAGACAGCGCCAAGAAUUUAAUCCAGGAGAAUUGACAAGCUUAAAUGAAAUCCAUAUUGCCCACUGAUUUUGUGCAGCUUCAGAUAAGUAAUCUUUCUCCACUUAGCCUUUUGUAACAAUUGAUGUAAUAAAGGUUUGUAGUCUUUGUGUAAUUUAUUAAAGCAUUGUGCCUAAAAUAGAAAAAAAGCAUAGGAACCAUAGGCUGUGUUUUCUUUUGAUUUAAUAUUUUCAUUUCUUCAGUUAAUAGAAAUUUGCCAAA